UUAAAGGCCUUUUUAAAGGCCACACAUACACAUAAGACAAGUAAGU
rfam:Caprimulgus carolinensis contig46296, whole genome shotgun sequence.